rnacentral:rRNA from 1 species
UACGUAGGGGGCAAGCGUUGUCCGGAUUUAUUGGGCGUAAAACGCUCGUAGGUGGCCAUGUCAAGUCGGAUGUGAAAUCUCCCGGCUCAACUGGGGAGGGUCACGCGAUACUGAUCGACUCGAAGGCAGGAGAGGGUAGUGGAAUUCCCGGUGUAGUGGUGAAAUGCGUAGAUAUCGGGAGGAACACCAGUGGCGAAGGCGACUACCUGGCCUGUUCUUGACGCUGAGGCGCGAAAGCUAGGGGAGCAAACGGG